GGCGGCGUGCUUAACACAUGCAAGUCGAGCGGAAAGGCCCUUCGGGGGUACUCGAGCGGCGAACGGGUGAGUAACACGUGAGUAACCUGCCCCUGACUCUGGGAUAAGCCUGGGAAACUGGGUCUAAUACCGGAUAUGACCAUUUCGGGCAUCCGAUGGUGGUGGAAAGUUUUUUCGGUUGGGGAUGGACUCGCGGCCUAUCAGCUUGUUGGUGGGGUAGUGGCCUACCAAGGCGACGACGGGUAGCCGGCCUGAGAGGGCGACCGGCCACACUGGGACUGAGACACGGCCCAGACUCCUACGGGAGGCAGCAGUGGGGAAUAUUGCGCAAUGGGCGGAAGCCUGAGCCAGCGACGCCGCGUGGGGGAUGACGGCCUUCGGGUUGUAAACCUCUUUCAGCAGGGACGAAGUUGACGUGUACCUGUAGAAGAAGCGCCGGCUAACUACGUGCCAGCAGCCGCGGUAAUACGUAGGGCGCAAGCGUUGUCCGGAAUUAUUGGGCGUAAAGAGCUCGUAGGUGGCUUGUCGCGUCUGCCGUGAAAGCUUAGGGCUUAACCCUAGGUCUGCGGUGGAUACGGGCAGGCUAGAGGCUGGUAGGGGCAAGCGGAAUUCCUGGUGUAGCGGUGAAAUGCGCAGAUAUCAGGAGGAACACCGGUGGCGAAGGCGGCUUGCUGGGCCAGUUCUGACGCUGAGGAGCGAAAGCGUGGGGAGCGAACAGGAUUAGAUACCCUGGUAGUCCACGCUGUAAACGUUGGGCGCUAGGUGUGGGGUGCUUCCACGAGACCCGUGCCGUAGCUAACGCAUUAAGCGCCCCGCCUGGGGAGUACGGCCGC
rnacentral:rRNA from 1 species